rnacentral:rRNA from 1 species
AGUGAACGCUGGCGGUAGGCCUAACACAUGCAAGUCGAACGGCAGCACAGUAAGAGCUUGCUCUUACGGGUGGCGAGUGGCGGACGGGUGAGGAAUACAUCGGAAUCUACUUUUUCGUGGGGGAUAACGUAGGGAAACUUACGCUAAUACCGCAUACGACCUACGGGUGAAAGCAGGGGAUCUUCGGACCUUGCGCGAUUGAAUGAGCCGAUGUCGGAUUAGCUUGUUGGCGGGGUAAAGGCCCACCAAGGCGACGAUCCGUAGCUGGUCUGAGAGGAUGAUCAGCCACACUGGAACUGAGACACGGUCCAGACUCCUACGGGAGGCAGCAGUGGGGAAUAUUGGACAAUGGGCGCAAGCCUGAUCCAGUCAUACCGCGUGGGUGAAGAAGGCCUUCGGGUUGUAAAGCCCUUUUGUUGGGAAAGAAAAGCAGCAGGUUAAUACCCCGCUGUUCUGACGGUACCCAAAGAAUAAGCACCGGCUAACUUCGUG